UUUGGCCAAUUUUGCACAUUUGGAACUCUAUGUUGUGAAAACCAAUCAACACCUACGCAUACAUGACCGUAUGUCAAUGGAAGGAUAUCACACCACACCUCCUCAUGGUAUUCAAAUUCGGAGAAGACAACCUUGACCCUCUAGGUAACCUUAAACCCAUCCAAGAAGUAUGCAACAAGUAAAGGAUCACGAAAAAACCCCAAAUAGUCAACGAUGGAUAGAACAAUGUAGUUACUAUAGUACCUAUCAUUUAACACAACUAGGCAGCCCGGUAUCCUACAAAUGGUCACCUUUUCGGAGUGUACACUCCUUCUCGGAUCAACAUUGUAAAGAACACGAGUACCCCUCAAUUUUGGAGAUGCAUACCCUCUUCUUCUCGUUGGACAACCUCCACUAGAGCUAUUAUAACCAUUCACACUAUAUCGNNNN
rnacentral:lncRNA from 1 species